AGGCUUUUGAUCCUGGCUCAGAUUGAACGCUGGCGGCAUGCUUUACACAUGCAAGUCGAACGGUAACAGGUCUUCGGAUGCUGACGAGUGGCGAACGGGUGAGUAAUGCAUCGGAACGUGCCCAGUCGUGGGGGAUAACGCAGCGAAAGCUGUGCUAAUACCGCAUACGAUCUGCGGAUGAAAGCGGGGGACCUUCGGGCCUCGCGCGAUUGGAGCGGCCGAUGUCAGAUUAGGUAGUUGGUGGGGUAAAGGCUCACCAAGCCAACGAUCUGUAGCUGGUCUGAGAGGACGACCAGCCACACUGGGACUGAGACACGGCCCAGACUCUACGGGAGGCAGCAGUGGGGAAUUUUGGACAAUGGGCGCAAGCCUGAUCCAGCAAUGCCGCGUGCAGGAAGAAGGCCUUCGGGUUGUAAACUGCUUUUGUACGGAACGAAAAGCUCUGGGUUAAUACCCUGGGAGAUCAUACGGUUACCGUUAAUAAUGCCACCGGCUA
rnacentral:rRNA from 1 species